GAGGAAUAUUGGUCAAUGGGCGAGAGCCUGAACCAGCCAAGCAGCGUGCAGGAUGACGGCCCUAUGGGUUGUAAACUGCUUUUGUAUGGGGAUAAAGUCAGUCACGUGUGAUUGUUUGCAGGUACCAUACGAAUAAGGACCGGCUAAUUCCGUGCCAGCAGCCGCGGUAAUACGGAAGGUCCGGGCGUUAUCCGGAUUUAUUGGGUUUAAAGGGAGCGUAGGCUGGAGAUUAAGUGUGUUGUGAAAUGUAGACGCUCAACGUCUGACUUGCAGCGCAUACUGGUUUCCUUGAGUACGCACAACGUUGGCGGAAUUCGUCGUGUAGCGGUGAAAUGCUUAGAUAUGACGAAGAACUCCGACUGCGAAGGCAGCUGACGGGAGCGCAACUGACGCUGAAGCUCGAAGGUGCGGGUAUCGAACAGGAUUAGAUACCCUGGUAGUCCGCACAGUAAACGAUGGAUGCCCGCUGUUGGUACCUGGUAUCAGCGGCUAAGCGAAAGCAUUAAGCAUCCCACCUGGGGAGUACGCCGGCAACGGUG
rnacentral:rRNA from 1 species